GUGUCAGCAGCCGCGGUAAUACGUAGGGAGCAAGCGUUAUCCGGAUUUAUUGGGUGUAAAGGGUGCGUAGACGGAAAUGCAAGUUAGUUGUGAAAUACCUCGGCUUAACUGAGGAACUGCAACUAAAGCUAUGUUUCUUGAGUACUGGAGGGGAAAGCGGAAUUCCUAGUGUAGCGGUGAAAUGCGUAGAUAUUAGGAAGAACACCGGUGGCGAAGGCGGCUUUCUGGACAGUAACUGACGUUGAGGCACGAAAGUGUGGGGAGCAAACAGGAUUAGAUACCCUGGUAGUCCACACCGUAAACGAUGGAUACUAGGUGUAGGUGGUGAUAAGCCAUCUGUGCCGUCGCAAACGCAAUAAGUAUCCCACCUGGGGAGUACGGCCGCAAGGUUGAAACUCAAAGAAAUUGACGG
rnacentral:rRNA from 1 species